CUCUCUCUCUCUCUCUCUCCACCCACGCUCUUGUUGUCGAAGCCCUACCCAUGCACGCCCUCUCUCUCUCUCUCUGAAGCUCGGUUGAGGUCACAGAUAUUUGAUGUGGCUAAUAAGGAAGUCUACAAGCUGGAUAAAAAGUUCAGGAAAGGGAGUCAUGUUUGAGUUCGUGUUCUUGGCUUUAGGCAUCUAGAAGGAUUGGCAAUGGAUGUUUUCUAUAUGUUUUGUUUUUUAUAAUAAUUAAUUUUUCUAUCACUUUCCAUGUAGUAUAUGACCUUUUGAUCUGCUCAGGGCAUUUUUUUUCUCUCUGUUUUUUCAUCUAUUUCAUUAUUUAUUUAUUUAUAACUUGAUUAUUUCUUCAUCUCUAUCUUUAAAAUCUCUUUACCAUAUAAACCUUUACUGUUGUCUUGUAAAGCACACUGAACCCUCCAUUCUCUGCAGGUAGAGCGGCUCUUUUAAGGACCAGAGCAUCCUAGUUGCAUAUGAUCUAUUGGACCACUUCUGUGAAAUAAACCUUCCUUAUAUUCAGAGACAGGUAUAAUUCUAUUGGACCACAGUGUUAUUUUACUUUGUAGUUUGUGAAUUUUAAUUAUUCGGCUUUUGUUUCAUAUAGACAUUGAAUUGGAGCAGCUAGUCUUCCCAGCUUUGUUAAUAUAGCAAUUAAUAAAUCCAUUUAAUUCAUUUUGAAAGUUUGGAGAAAGAAAUACUUGACCGAUUUAAUCUGUAUAUGUGUGUGCAUGGAUUGUUUUUAUUUUUGUUUUGAACAUUUAGUUAGCUUCUGUCUCUAGUUAGAUUCCUUUUUUUUUAAUUCUAUUCCCAUAAAACUAGUUGUGCAGCCCGUUUACAUCCCUACAUUCGAGUGAUGUGUAGUUUGCUUAGGACUUCUUUAGUUGAUAGGUAGAAUGGCUUUCUUUCAUAUUUCUUCUUUGGGUCCAUUUCACAUGACCUACAUUGCAUUGCUCAUGUAGCAUGGAUACCAUGGGCCCCAUAUGUGGAGAUGAUCUGAUAUACGUUUGAUUAAACUGCUUGUUCACAGUUCAAUUCACUUUGGCAUCCGAACACAGCCUAAAGGAACUUGGAUUUGCUUGAUUCCUGCUUUGAAAACACAAUGAUCGGAGACAAUUUAAGUGAAGGAACAAAGUCAUAGCAUGCGCCGAUUCACUUCGGAAUCAGUGUUUCCGAGGAAGAACAUGUCGCUACUACCAUCCUCCAGCUCAUAUACAAGAAUAAAGAUGGGGUGACUUGCAAGAAUUGUAGUGGUGUAGUUUCUAGGAAAAUGAAAUUUAGGGCGUUUGUGCUUGGAAAAUUUCCUAAAUGGUCUUUCUGAU